rnacentral:lncRNA from 1 species
CCAAAACCUCCACUAUAACCAUCAAGAAUUACAAUAUUAUUCUCCAAAAUGGCCACAAAACAAGUUUCAAAUAACGAGCAACAACACAACAAAAUAACACCAAAACUAGAGAAUAAAAAGGAGCACAAACACCAAAAAUGUAGCUGCUGUCCGGGAAUAAAAAACAGGAGCUAUAGACCAUCAAAUUCAACCCCGUCAGUUUUUAAUCAAAGAUUGAGAUGAGAGGAACAAGCUGUCCAAAAAUUAGCUCAAUCGGACAAGAAACGAAGCAAAAAUCGUAAUUUGAAGUUGACUGCUGUGACUGGAAUUUUAGUGCGAAAAUCUAACCUAAUCUCUUUUGUGGCUGCUAAGAACUCUUUUGUGGAUGUGAAAUAAGACCUAAAAAGUUCUCUCUCUCUACAUAUAUAUAUAUAUAUAUAUCCUAGUUUUUCACCACUUAUAAUACUCUAUUGAAUCUAGGUGGUCUAGUGGUAGACUGACCCCUUCUUCAAGAUUUGGAGGACCAGCCAUGUUCAAGAUCCUUUCAAGAUGUUAACCUUAUUUAGGAAGAUCCCGCUCUGAUAUCAAUUAAGGAGUUCACGCGAGUUGUCCUCCAACUUUGGGACCUGGUCCCAAACAAACUUAAACAACAAGAAUAGUAAAGUACGUGAAAGCGAGAGUAAAGGAUACAAUAAUUUUAUGUGGAAACUCCUUGCUCAAGGAAGAAAAACCACGACCUGCAUUCAGACUUCUAAGCUCCAAUAAUAUGCAAGCAACUUGAAUCAAAUCCAUUACAUUAAGGAUUAACCUCCUAAUCCUUCUUCUCCUAGUAAUACCUUUAUUACAAUGAGAAAUUUGCAGUAACUUUACUGCAUCACUAUCUAACUAACUCUAAUUGAGUAAAAGCUAAUUCUAACUUUAAUAUCACCUAACUCUAGAUGAGAACAAGGAGUUUGAAGUAAACACACCAAUACCUACUAAUAACAAUGACAAACAAUAGGCAACAUUUAAGACCACCAUACAAAAACUCAAAUACAAUAAGAAAAUAAAAUACAACUUUGGGAGCUAAGAGAGAGAGAUCUUUCUUAUAAUACAACUUUGGGAGCUAAGAGAGAGAGAUCUUUUUAGGUCUUGUUUCAGACCAUACAUGUCAUAUAUAUAUAUAUAUACACACACACAUACAUAUAUUUAUAUAUAUAUGCCCCAUAGUAAUGGGUCUAUCGGCAAAAGUGGGUUGGUCCAAACUGAACUUUAUUUAUCCACAUAGGAAGGGACAAAGACCCAUAUCCCAACACCAUCAGAACCUUCACGGGUCGUGUUGUCCGUGGGACAGAAUAAGUAAGGAUAUCUCAUGAUAUUAUUUUAUCCACCUUUUAUAUGAGAUAGUAAUCCCGCCAUUUUAGUACAAAUAUUGGGAUAAGUUAAUACCUC